GCAUGGGCGGACUUCGUGUGGGGGCCCUCAAGAAUCAUCCGAAUCGAUCGUAUAUCACUCGAUUAAACGGUUCUAUAUAAAGGUGAGAAGAAGAGAAUCGCGGCAAUCCCCGGAGCCUUUGGAUCUUUACUGCACUCUUCGGCAUUGCAUCUGAGACACUUGGAGCAGUCUCCUGCGCUUUUUUUGGACGUCCUCGAUCAGCUCUUCCUUGUUUCCUCUCUGCGACUCUUUCUUGUUGCUCUCUUCUUUUUCUUGGUGCGUCUUUUGGUGUCCAUUCGGCUUCUAGUUCAGUUGACAAGAUCUGCACGCUUCCUGUUUGACGUAAUGCUUGAGACAAGGGAUAACUCCUUAUUGACCUCUUGAUUCCCUUCUACUUCAUAUCUCGAUCCAAACAAGGGUAAAGGUCCACAAGACCUAUAGAUGUUGAAGAUAGAAGAGGUGACACAAUUAGUAUAUAUGGUAUGAGUAGAGGCAGAGGAAGACCUAAAGAGAACUAAAUGCUUUUAAAUUAAUUAAGGAUAUUACAUUUUAUUCAGCUCAAUGAUAAUAAAAUAAAAAAUCUAUGAUAUAUUUAUGACAUUUCAGCUUGUUAUUGUUGUUGUAAAGGUCCACACAACCGCUGAUAAUUCUGAGCUGGAUUUUGCUGCAGUUACUGUUGGUUAUUUGAUUUUAUUUGACUGUUGGUCAGAAUAUAUUGUUGGGCUGACAGAUUCAGCCCAUAGUGGGCUUGGGUAGCCCACAGCCCACAUCCCCUCUUAACCUAAUCCUAAUUAACAUUAGGAGGGUGUGGUGAUUGCGUUUUGAAGGCAGAAAAAGACAUAAAUAGGGCAGCAACGUGGGAGAAGAAAAUAGCCACGGGAUUUCAAAGAAAAGGAAGAAAACAAGGCAGAAAAGGAAGAGAAAGAAAGGGAAGAAGAUAAGGAUAACGCAGAGAGACUGUUCUCAAUCAUCUAGCAGUGUUCUCUUCUCAGGUUAGAUCAAAUCUACAGUAGACUCUUGCUGUGAUUACUUGGGGAGGUUUUAGAUAUUGUGGGCAGUGACGUGAUCCUUGUAUCCCAGUUAUUCUUUUGAGAUUGUUGCUAGGGUUUAGGGCAAGAGAUUAAGAUUUGUAUAUUCAUUAUUCUCAUAGUGGAUUAUCUCUAGUUUGCCCCGUGGAUUUUACCCUUUACAUUGGAGGGGUUUUCCACGUAUAUCUUGGUGUUCUGUUUGAUUGUGCUUUCAUUUAAUUCCGCUGCGUAUUAUGGUCUUCUAGUAUUUGUUCAUAUACAAAGGUUAUUCCUGUUAAUAUCCCUAUCAACUGGUAUCAGAGCAAAAGGGUUUUGGUGAUUUAAUUUUGUAUUUGAACAUGGAGGCUAGUAAUGUUUCUCGCAUGAUUAGUUUAAAUGAAAACAAUUGGAUGAUAUGGAAACCAAGAAUGGAAGAUCUCUUGUAUUGCAAAGAUUUAUAUGGACCUUUGCAGGGAGAUAGUGCAAAACCCACAACUAUGACAGAUGAUGAGUGGAAGAGGUUAGAUCGAAAAACAAUUGGAUUUAUUCGACAAUGGCUUGAUGAUAGUGUCUUUCACCAUGUUUCUACUGAAAUUUCUACAUAUUCUCUUUGGAAAAAGUUGGAAAGUCUCUAUAAAAGAAAAACAGCUGGCAACAAAGCUUUUUUUAUCAGAAAACUUGUGAACCUAAAAUAUAGAGAGGGUGCUUCUAUUGCUAAACAUUUGAAUGAAAUGCAAAGUAUUACUAACCAGUUAUCCUCUAUGAAAAUGUCUCUUGAUGAUGAGUUGCAGGCAUUGUUACUUCUCAAUUCAUUACCAGAAAGUUGGGAGACACUGGUGGUUUCCCUCAGUAAUUCUGCACCAGAUGAUGUUGUCACUAUGAGUCAAGUAACAAGUAGAUUGUUGAAUGAGGAGUUGAGAAGAAAGAGUUCGGCAACAUCUCAGAAUGAUUCACAGACACUUAUAUCAGAGAACUGAGGAAGGUCAAAGUCUAGAAGCAGUUCACGCAUGAGUAAAAGCAAGUCAAGAUCAAGAAAAUAUAUUGUUUGCUAUAAUUGUGGUGAGAAAAGACAAUACAAGAACCAAUGUAAGAAACCUAAGAAGAGCAAGAAAAAGGGAAAAUAAGUGGAGUCUAUAGAGUCAAAAGAUAAUACUACAGCUAUAGUGCAGGGUGGUGAUUAUUUGAUUUUGUCUCCUUCUAAUGAUAUUUUUUCUUGUGUGUGUCAAGAUCUUGAGUGGGUAAUUGACACAGGUGCUUCUUAUCAUGCUACACCACGGAGGGAGUUUUCUACUACAUACAGGUUUGGAAAUUUUGGUGUUGUCAAGAUGGGCAACUAUGGUACAGCAGACAUCAUGUGAUAAUCAUUUAAAGACCAACCUUGGCUGCAAGUUAAUGCUUAAGGAUGUGAGGUAUGUGGUUGACUUGAGGCUGAAUUUAAUUUCAGUUGGAAGGCUAGAUGAUGAACUAUGAUAGCAGGUUUCACAAAGGGCAAUGAAAGCUCAGUAAAGGUUCUCUUGUUAUAGCUAAUGGAAAGAAAUGUCAUACUUUGUACAGGUUGCAGGCUAAAGCUUAUGGUGAGCAGUUAAAUGCUACAGAAAAAGACUUCAGAGGUAUACAUGAGCGAGAAGGGGCUGUAAGCUCUUUCCAAGAGAGAGGUAUUACUAAACCUCAGAGGUAUACAUCUGAACCCUUGUAUUGAUUGUUUAGUAGGUAAACAAUAUAGAGUUUCAUUUGCUAGUCCUGCUUUGUUUAGAAAAAUGCAUGCCUUAGACCAUGUUUAUACAGAUGUAUGUGGUCCUUUGAGGACACAAACUCCUGGUGGAUCUGUUGAUGUUCUUGGUAUAAGUGGUGCACUUUAUUUUAUUACUUUUAUAGAUGAUUUUUUCAGGAAAGUUUGGGCCUAUGCUUUGAAAACUAAAGAUCAGGUGAUUAAUAUCUUCAAAGAGUUUCAUGCUAGGGUUGAAAGGAAGACAGAAAGGAAAUUGAAAUUGAUAAGAUCAGAUAAUGGUGAUGAGUAUACAAGAUUGUUUAAUGACUAUUGCAUGUCACAUGAGAUCCAACAUGAGAUGAUAGUUCCUAGUACACCUCAGCAUAAUGCAAUUACAGAGAGGAUGAACCGCACCAUUAUGGAAAAGAUUAGAUGUAUGCUUUCACAGGCCAAGCUACCCAAAAGGUUUUGGAAUGAGGCUUUGAGGACUGUAGUUGAUGUGAUCAACUUAUCACCAUGUACAGCCCUAGAUGGUGAUGUUGCAGAGCAUGUAUAGUCAGGGAAAGAUGUUUCCUACAAGCAUUUGAGAGUGUUUGGUUGUCGUGCAUUUGCACAUGUUCCAGAUAAUGAGAGGUCCAAGCUGGAUGGUAAGACUAAAGAAUGUAUUUUUCUUGGCUACUCACAUGAUCAUUUUGAUUACAGGCUUUGGGAUCCAAAAAAGUAGAAGGUGUUUAGAAGCAGAGAUAUAGUCUUUUUUGAGGAUCAAACCUUUGAGGAUUUGAAGAAGAAGGCACCAGCCAAGACUUCUGCAGAAGGAUUAGCAGAUUGUGAUCUAGUUAUUCCUCCAGUAUAUUAGGGUGAUAGGGGAGAUGUGCAGGAAGAUGGUGUAGAGCCUGAUGUUGAUCUACCUGCAGGACAUGUUGAGCAAGAAGAAGUAGGAGAGCAAGUUUCAGCAGAACCUCAGUUGAGAAGAUUUUCUAGACAACGUCAACCUUCCAAAAGAUACUUUACAGAUGAGUAUGUGAUGCUUACUGAUGCAGGUGAACCAGAGAGUUACCAUGAAGCAGUUGAAAGUGAGCAGAAAGAGAAGUGAUUAGUUGCUAUGCAGGAAGAGAUUGAUGCUCUUCAGAAGAAUCACACUUAUGAUUUGGUACUACUACCAAAUGGAAUGAAGACCUUAUCAAAAGAAAAACAGGAGAUAUGCCGACAGCUGGUCGGCAUGGCUUCAUAUUGAGGAGUCAUGGGACAGCCUCCCUUAUGGGCUGAAGUGGGAGGUUGUUGGGCUGACAGCCCACAGAUUCAGCCCAUAGUGGGCUUGGGCAGCCCACAGUCCACACCCCCUCUUAACUUAACCCUAAUUAACAUUAGGGGGGUGUGGUGACUGCGUUUUGAUGGCAGAAAAAGACACAAAUAGGGCAGCAACGUGGGAGAAGAAAAGAGCCACGGGAUUCCAAGAAAAGGAGGAAAACAAGGCAGAAAAGGAAGAGAAAGAAAGGGAAGAAGACAAGGACAACGCAGAGAGACUGUUCUCAAUCAUCUAGCAGUGUUCUCCUCUCAUGUUAGAUCAAAUCUACAGUAGACUCUUGCUGUGAUUACUUGGGGAGGUUUUAGAUAUUGUGGGCAGUGACGUGAUCCUUGUAUCUCAAUUAUUCUUUUGAGAUUAUUGCUAGGGUUUAGGGUAAGAGAUUGAGAUUUGUAUAUUCAUUAUUCUCAUAGUGGAUUAUCUCUAGUUUGCCCUGUGGAUUUUACCAUUCACAUUGGAGGGGUUUUCCACGUAUAUCUUGGUGUUCUGUUUGAUUGUGCUUUCAUUUAAUUCCGCUGCGUAUUAUGAUCUUCUAGUAUUUGUUCAUAUACAAAGGUUAUUCCUGUUAAUAUCCCAAUCAUAUAUCACUACUCACUUCCUUGCAUCUCCCCUUCUUCAUUUGUGUAACUUGUGGAAUUAUUGUAGUUGUUGGCAAAGGAGGAACAUGUACUAGUCAGGCAAGCAUGGAUGGUUGGCGCAAGGAAAUUAUAUUGUGAAGGAAUUUCAGCAACUUAAACUUUGUGCUGGACUGCAUUGUUGAUGCAAUGAUUGUGCUGAGCAUCUAAUUUAAAGGUUCAUUAUUAAAUGUGGGUAUUAUCAACUUAACUUUAGUAUUUACUACAUUGUGUGUGUGUUUUUUUUUUGUAGAAAACCAAUAGAGAAAGAAAUGGGCCUUAUUGGUUUUUUCCCGCUAAUGUUGGGUUUUAGUCAUUUUAUGCACAGAAGAAGUUAGGAAAUUUAUACCAGGGAAUUACAGAGAAGAAGCUUGAUGAGAUCCAAGGAGAGCCUACAAGUAUUAUAUUAUCAUUGGCAAUGGUGAGGCGGCAACAUCGGCAACGGUGAGGCGGCAAAGAGGUAGAAGAGGCAGCGGCAAAACGGCGAAGAGGCAGCGCUACAGUUUUUUGAUUUUUUAUUAUUUUAAUUCGAACCAUCCGAAACAGAGUGGUGUGCAUAUCGGUCUAUGCUCGGACCGGUACAUACCACCCAAAUCGUAUCAUUUUAGGCGGUACAGAAAUCCUUGAUUAUUGGUAUCUUGAACAUUCUUUGAUGAAGAUAUCAAAUUGUCAUGUGCAUAAUUCUAAAUGUUAUUUGGUAACCUUUAUGCACUGUUAUGAUAUCUGAAUUUUGAAAUGUGUAGAAGUUUCUAUUAAAUUUGUCAUUACAUAUCCGGCGCAUACAUUCUGUCAUUAUUAUAGUCAUCCAAGCCUUUGAUCAUCAAUAUAAGAUGACUAAGUUCAUUCCUGUGUCAAAAUCUUAGCACUCUUUUGUUAAUCACUUGUUCAAUUCUUUUUCCAAAACUUAUAUAAUAAUGUUUUUACUUUUUUCUUGCAGA